CCUACGGGCGGCAGCAGUGAGGAAUAUUGGUCAAUGGGCGGAAGCCUGAACCAGCCAAGUCGCGUGAGGGAAUAAGGCCCUACGGGUCGUAAACCUCUUUUGCCGGGGAGCAAGGGCGGGGACGUGUCCCGGCCCGGAGAGUACCCGGAGAAAAAGCAUCGGCUAACUCCGUGCCAGCAGCCGCGGUAAUACGGGGGAUGCGAGCGUUAUCCGGAUUUAUUGGGUUUAAAGGGUGCGUAGGCGUGUUUUUAAUGCAGCGGGAAAAAUUCGGGGCUCAACCCCGUCGGGCCGUUGAAACUGGAGGCCUUGAGUGGGCGAGAAGAAGGCGGAAUGCGUGGUGUAGCGGUGAAAUGCAUAGAUAUCACGCAGAACCCCGAUUGCGAAGGCAGCCUUCCGGCGCACUACUGACGCUGAGGCACGAAAGUGCGGGGAUCGAACAGGAUUAGAUACCCGAGUAGUC
rnacentral:rRNA from 1 species